CAAGAACUUUGAACUCUACGAUAUAGUGCCUCUCCGGCGAGGUCUCGUUUAGAUUUUUCUUCUUCUUUAUUCUCAGUUGUUUAGCAUGAAAUGGAAGCAAAAUGAUCAGCAGGCUUGUCCAGCCUUAUAAGUGAAUGGAUAGCUCAUUGUUCCGCAGGACAGACAUAGAGUUGCGUUCGGUUUCUUAGUGACAGAAGAGUCAAGAGACUCAAGACUGAAGAUGGUUCCAACAUCAAGUAAAUUAAGCAAGUUAUAUAAGAGUCUUUUGUUCUGUGGUGGGUAGAUAUUCUGGGUAGCUAAACAAGUUUUGACUUAGUAGUCGGUUUCUAUACCCAUUGACAUUAUCAAAUGCCUCUACUGAUUUGUUAUUCAAAACACAAAACUAGUUUUGUAUGAAUUCUAUAUAUUUUAAAGAAAAGCAGUUCAGAUG